rnacentral:rRNA from 1 species
GAUGAACGCUAGCGGGAGGCUUAACACAUGCAAGUCGUGGGGCAGCACGGGGUAGCAAUACUCUGGUGGCGACCGGCGCACGGGUGAGUAACGCGUAUGCAACCUACCCAGUACAGGGGGAUAGCCCGGAGAAAUUCGGAUUAAUACCCCAUAAUGAUAUUAAGAGGCAUCUUUUAAUAUUUAAAGCUUCGGCGGUACUGGAUGGGCAUGCGUAAGAUUAGCUAGUUGGUAGGGUAACGGCCUACCAAGGCGCCGAUCUUUGGGGGUCCUGAGAGGGUGCUCCCCCACACUGGUACUGAGACACGGACCAGACUCCUACGGGAGGCAGCAGUGAGGAAUAUUGGUCAAUGGGCGCAAGCCUGAACCAGCCAUCCCGCGUGAAGGAAGAAGGCGCUAUGCGUUGUAAACUUCUUUUCCGGAGGAAUAAAAUCUUGUACGCGUACAGGACUGAAGGUACUCCGGGAAUAAGCAUCGGCUAACUCCGUGCCAGCCGCCGCAGUAAUAC